rnacentral:rRNA from 1 species
UCUCGGCAACGGAUAUCUCGGCUCUCGCAUCGAUGAAGAACGUAGCGAAAUGUGAUACCUGGUGUGAAUUGCAGAAUCCCGUGAACCAUCGAGUCUUUGAACGCAAGUUGCGCCCGAGGCCAUCCGGCCAAGGGCACGCCUGCCUGGGCGUCACG